rnacentral:rRNA from 1 species
AGAGUUUGAUCAUGGCUCAGGACGAACGCUGGCGGCGUGCUUAACACAUGCAAGUCGAACGAUGAUCCGGUGCUUGCACCGGGGAUUAGUGGCGAACGGGUGAGUAACACGUGAGUAACCUGCCCUUGACUCUGGGAUAAGCCUGGGAAACCGGGUCUAAUACCGGAUACGACCUGUCACCGCAUGGUGGUGGGUGGAAAGAUUUUUUGGUUUUGGAUGGACUCGCGGCCUAUCAGCUUGUUGGUGAGGUAAUGGCUCACCAAGGCGACGACGGGUAGCCGGCCUGAGAGGGUGACCGGCCACACUGGGACUGAGACACGGCCCAGACUCCUACGGGAGGCAGCAGUGGGGAAUAUUGCACAAUGGGCGAAAGCCUGAUGCAGCGACGCCGCGUGAGGGAUGACGGCCUUCGGGUUGUAAACCUCUUUCAGCAGGGAAGAAGCGAAAGUGACGGUACCUGCAGAAGAAGCGCCGGCUAACUACGUGCCAGCAGCCGCGGUAAUACGUAGGGCGCAAGCGUUGUCCGGAAUUAUUGGGCGUAAAGAGCUCGUAGGCGGUUUGUCGCGUCUGCUGUGAAAGCCCGGGGCUCAACCCCGGGUCUGCAGUGGGUACGGGCAGACUAGAGUGCAGUAGGGGAGACUGGAAUUCCUGGUGUAGCGGUGAAAUGCGCAGAUAUCAGGAGGAACACCGAUGGCGAAGGCAGGUCUCUGGGCUGUAACUGACGCUGAGGAGCGAAAGCAUGGGGAGCGAACAGGAUUAGAUACCCUGGUAGUCCAUGCCGUAAACGUUGGGCACUAGGUGUGGGGGACAUUCCACGUUUUCCGCGCCGUAGCUAACGCAUUAAGUGCCCCGCCUGGGGAGUACGGCCGCAAGGCUAAAACUCAAAGGAAUUGACGG